GACGAACGCUGGCGGCGUGCCUAAUACAUGCAAGUCGAGCGGAUCUCGAGGAGCUUGCUCCUUGAGAUUAGCGGCGGACGGGUGAGUAACACGUGGGCAACCUGCCUGUAAGACUGGGAUAACACCGGGAAACCGGUGCUAAUACCGGAUAAUUCUUUCCCUCGCAUGAGGGGAAGCUGAAAGUCGGUUUCGGCUGACACUUACAGAUGGGCCCGCGGCGCAUUAGCUAGUUGGUGAGGUAACGGCUCACCAAGGCAACGAUGCGUAGCCGACCUGAGAGGGUGAUCGGCCACACUGGGACUGAGACACGGCCCAGACUCCUACGGGAGGCAGCAGUAGGGAAUCUUCCGCAAUGGACGAAAGUCUGACGGAGCAACGCCGCGUGAGUGAUGAAGGCCUUCGGGUCGUAAAACUCUGUUGUUAGGGAAGAACAAGUAUCGGAGUAACUGCCGGUACCUUGACGGUACCUAACCAGAAAGCCACGGCUAACUACGUGCCAGCCGCCGCCGUAAUAC
rnacentral:rRNA from 1 species